UACCAGCACCCCGAGUGGUCGGGACGAUUAUUGGGCCUAAAGCAUCCGUAGCCGGUCCUACAAGUCUUCCGUUAAAUCCACCUGCUUAACAGAUGGGCUGCGGAAGAUACUAUAGAGCUAGGAGGCGGGAGAGGCAAGCGGUACUCGAUGGGUAGGGAUAAAAUCCGUUGAUCCAUUGAAGACCACCAGUGGCGAAGGCGGCUUGCCAGAACGCGCUCGACGGUGAGGGAUGAAAGCUGGGGGAGCAAACCGG
rnacentral:rRNA from 1 species